GACGAACGCUGGCGGCGUGCCUAAUACAUGCAAGUAGAACGCACGGUUUAUACCGUAGCUUGCUACACCAUAGACUGUGAGUUGCGAACGGGUUAGUAACGCGUAGGUAACCUGCCUGGUAGCGGGGGAUAACUAUUGGAAACGAUAGCUAAUACCGCAUAAUAUUAAUUAUUGCAUGAUAAUUAAUUGAAAGGUGCAAUUGCACCACUACCAGAUGGACCUGCGUUGUAUUAGCUAGUAGGUGGGGUAACGGCUCACCUAGGGGACGAUACAUAGCCGACCUGAGAGGGGGAGCGGCCACGCUGGGACGGAGACACGGCCCAGACUCCUGCGGGAGGCAGCAGGAGGGAAUCUUCGGCAAUGGACGCAAGUCUGACCGAGCAACGACGCGUGAGUGAAGAAGGUUUUCGGAUCGUAAAGCUCUGUUGUAAGAGAAGAACGGGAGUGAGAGUGGAAAGUGCACACUGUGACGGUAUCUUACCAGAAAGGGACGGCUAACUACGUG
rnacentral:rRNA from 1 species